rnacentral:rRNA from 1 species
UUUUAAUCCAACAUCGAGGUCGCAAACUUUUUCAUCGAUAUGAACUCUCCAAAAAAAUUACGCUGUUAUCCCUAAGGUAAGUUAAUCUUUUAAUCUAAAAUAAGGAUCAAAAAAACAUAAAUUAAUGAAAAGAUAAAUUAAAAGUUAAAGAAAUUUUAAUAUCACCCCAAUAAAACUUAAAAAAAUAAAAUAAAAAAUUAAAAACAACAAAAUAAAAAUUAAAAAUUAAGUAAACUUCUAUAGGGUCUUCUCGUCCUAUAAAAAAAUUUAAGCUUUUUAACUUAAAAAUUAAAUUCAAUAAAAUUAUUAAAAAAAAGAAUAUUUUUCAUCAAACCAUUCAUUCUAGCCUCCAAUUAAAAGACAAAUGAUUAUGCUACCUUAGUACAGUUAAAAUACCGCAGCCUUUUAAUAAAAAUCAAUGGGCAGGCCCAAUCUUAUAUUAAAAACAAAAGAACAUGUUUUUGUUAAACAGGCG